AUAUCUUUGGCAGCACAUAUCCUAAAAUUGGGAUGAAACAGAGAAAAUUAGCAUGGCUGAUGCACAAGGACAACAUGCAAAUUCUGUGAAGUGUUCCACAUUUAA